CAGCAGCCACGGUAAAACGAAGGGUGCAAGCGUUAAUCGGAAUUACUGGGCGUAAAGCGUGCGUAGGCGGUUUGUUAAGUCUGCUGUGAAAUCCCCGAGCUUAACUUGGGAACUGCAUUUGAAACUGGCAAGCUAGAGUCUUGUAGAGGGGGGUAGAAUUCCAGGUGUAGCGGUGAAAUGCGUAGAGAUCUGGAGGAAUACCGGUGGCGAAGGCGGCCCCCUGGACAAAGACUGACGCUCAGGUGCGAAAGCGUGGGGAGCAAACAGGAUUAGAUACCCGGGUAGUCCCUGUCUCUUAUAC
rnacentral:rRNA from 1 species